GUAGUGGGAAGAGCUAGCUUCUGGACGGCUGCUCAGCAGCGUAGCUGUGGAGGCAGGAGGAGCCACGCUAACACCUGGACAGAAAGAAACCAGUGAGAAACCACUGGGAUCAGAAGCCAAGAACCAUGGGGAUCAGGGCAGAAAUCAAUACUAUCCUGAGGAAGAGGCCUUAUGUAGAAGACAUGACGACAUCUACAAUACAUCAUUGAUCCCCUGGUGCUGGUACUGCGUCAGAGCCAUACUGAAAUCACCCAAACUGCCUAGAGACACAGCCUGGCCAUCUUUUAGGAAGGCAUUGUGAUGUUAGAACCCCUGACCGUAGGCUCUGUUUGAGCUGAAAGCCUUUAGGCAGGUUAUCUAUGCUCGGGGUGAGUAGCCCAUCCUUCACGAUUUCUUGGUUCACUUGCUGCUCACUCGGAGCCAGACCCACAGAGUCCGGGCUCAGAUAGAGAAAAGAUACAUACCCCUCCUCCUCCAGACUGUGGUUGAACUGCCUGUGGGAGGGGUGAGGGUAGCACAGAAUAGGACUGUGCUUUUGGGGACCCAGACCUGAGCACAUAUGACCUGAAGGUAGCCAGCCAUAGAGGAAGGCAGGAAGUGGGGGGUGGGCCUUUCUCUAUAGUCUCUGAAGCAGAGCUCUCAGUGAGCAGUGAACACUGACACCCGUACUAAGACACGAAGAUGAAUGCGCCCCAUAUAUACAUGGUACACAUCCUGGACUAUGGACCCAUACAUAAAUCCACCGACAGUAAUGUAAAAGAAACGUCAUUGAGCUGUGACGUCAGCUGCGUCACCUAUGGACAAAGGCAUUUGCACCACUUAAGUAGGUAGCAUAAAUGGGAUCGAUGGAUGAGAGUUUCUUCCUGUUCUUUAGCUAUUAUAAUCCUACAAACACGUUUGCCUCUGUUCCCCGGGGUGGGUUAGAGAAAGAAAUGGAGAUGCUUAUUUAAAAGGAUUUGUCAAUUCUUGGUCAAAACUGGUUCAUAGAUCAAAGCUUAUUGCAGA